AACGGCCAUACAAUGCUGAAUAUAUCGGUUCUCGUUAGAUCACCGAAGUCAAGCAUCAUUGGGCGCGGUCAGUACUUGGCUUGACCAUAGGAA